UGGCGGACGGGUGAGUAAUGUCUGGGAAACUGCCUGAUGGAGGGGGGUAACUACUGGAAACGGUAGCUAAUACCGCAUAACGUCGCAAGACCAAAGAGGGGGACCUUCGGGCCUCUUGCCAUCGGAUGUGCCCAGAUGGGAUUAGCUAGUAGGUGGGGUAAUGGCUCACCUAGGCGACGAUCCCUAGCUGGUCUGAGAGGAUGACCAGCCACACUGGAACUGAGACACGGUCCAG
rnacentral:rRNA from 1 species